rnacentral:rRNA from 1 species
UUGCAUGUGCUCGGGCUGUAUGCGCAGGCUAGGUGGGAGGCUAUGAUCGUUUGCUUGCGGGGGAAGCUGAGCCACUGGUGAGAUACCACUCUUUCAAAGCUAGAAUCCUAAUGCUGAUCUUUUAUUCGGACAUCUGACAGUUUCAGGUGGGCAGUUUAUCUGGGGCGGAUGCCUCAUAAAGUGUAACUGAGGCGUGCAAGGGUUCUCUCAGUCUGGAGGGAAAUCACACAUUGAUUGUAAAGGCAAAAGAAACUUUGACUGUAAAAACAACAAUUCAAGCAGGACCGAAGGCCGGCCUUAUUGACCCGACGGUGUGCCGUGAAAGGCCCUCCCUCCAACGGAUAAAAUUACCUCUAGGGAAACCAGGCGAA